CAUGAUGUCCGAAUGUGCUAACAUGGAUCAGAUGUACAAAGAUAAAUAAAUAAUUUUAACAAUAACAAUUAUCUACACUAUUAUUAACAAAAUAGGUUUUUUUAGUCAAAAUCAUAAAUUUUGAUAGAAAUGACUCUAAAAUAUUUAAAUACUUACAGAAUUAAUCAAAUCACAAAGACAAUUAUGACAAUUACAAAAUAUAUUUUUGAACAAACAAAAAAACCCACAACCUAUUUUCUCUCUAUAAUAACUAUUUCCUUUCAUUAUCUUUUCUUCUUUUUUUUUCUACCAUUUUUUUUUUGGCACAUGCAGAGCAUGUGUGUAGGAAGACUAGUAUUUAAUAAUAAAAAAUUAUUUAAAAUGAUGGGCACCAAUCAUCAAUUCAACUUAAGUGAAAAACUUAAGGAGAAGUAUUUUCAAACCAAUUUCGGGAAAUAUGCAACUGUUCUGAAAGACAUGUGUAUAUUUCCAAUCUGUUUUUCUCAUGAUAAUAAUAUAUUGAUUGUUAAGAAGCAAUUCAAACACACUAGUAAUAUGAUCUCUCCGUAUGGGACGAAUCCUUUUUAGUGAUCCUUUCAGUAAAUGUAUAGUAAUUAUCUAUAAUCUAAAGGGCGUGGACUGUUCAUUCGCGUCUCACUGUUCAUUCGAGCCCGAAGUAAAUGACGCUUUUGCCCUUAAUUUUUUCUUAAAUUACAUCCCUGUCAUUUAGUCUGUUAUAAGCACCCGCCGACAGUAGAAUGCUAGAACUCCAGAAGGUUCAGGUUUUUUGGGUCUCAUCAACUUGACAGUGGUUGCAGAUAUUUAGCAACUGGAGGGUUUGAUUAGAUAUGCGGCAAAGAAUAUUGGUUUCUGUCUCAAAUCAAUAUUCCGUCUCUAACCUGCAUUUGAUCACUCAGCACAGAAUAUUGAUUAAAGCUCAAGCUCAAGCUUCCUCGAAGAGAGACAAAGCUCAAGCUUUCUGGAGAUCGGAGGCAAAUCCCUAAAGCAUAGAGUCGUUGCCCAGUCAAUCCCCGAUAAUUUCAAGCUAGGAUUCCAAAGUUUGAACAUUUAAUCCGGUAAUUCUCUCACCUAAUUUUCAGGUCUGAUUGCAUCCGACUCUGAAUAUUGUCUCGAUUCGAGUUCCUCUGGGCUCGGUUAUUCUGGGUUUUGUUUAAAGUUGUGGUCUUUGGAGGAAAUUGGGGGUUUCGAAUUUCUGAAAUAUUGUCUCGAUUCGAUUUUUUUUGGGCUCGGUAAUUGUGGGUUUUGUUUAAAGUUGUGGUCUUUGGAUGGGAAUUGGGGGUUUCGGAUUUCUGGGUUUUUCCACUGUUUUGUUUGGUGAAAUUGGGUUUUCUGUUUGGUUUGUUUGAUCCUCGAUUGUGAAAUUGGGUUUUGUGUUUGGUUUGUUUGAUCCGUGGGUGCUUGGUAGAGUAGUGGCUCUUGCUUGCAUUCGUCGUUUUACACCCCUUUUCUUUCUGGAUUUCUAUGUGUUGGUUGAAAAGAGACAUUAGGUUGUUGAGUUGAGUUGUUUUGUUCUGUAUCGUUAUGGAAGUUUGUUAAAUCAAGGCUGUUCAAUUGCGAUGGGUAUUUUUAUUGGAUUAUACUUUUUUCUCUUUAUUUUAUUUUAUUUAUGAGACAUUAGAUAGUGGCUUCCUUGAUUGGAUGAAUUUUUGUAUGUCGUCCUUGAUUUGAUAUGAUUAUACUUGAAGUGCUGGUGUGAAAUUGGAAUGUCUGCUGCUGCUAUCUGUUUUUGUUUGAUUUUUUUUAAUAUUAUUGGUCUGUUGAUUUUGGAGUUUUUGCUCGAGGUAACUUUUCUUUGCUGUUUUCUUUGUUUAGUGUUCUUAACAAGUUUGAUUAGUGUCUUUUGGUGGUGAGUUUUUUUUCCCCCUCUUUUUUUGAAAGUGAGCUGUUGGAGUUUGGUUUUCUUAGAGAGAUUUUGGGUUUGGUUUCAUAAUUAUCGUGCUCUGAACCAUAUUUAAUAGUGGAUUCUGAGUAAGUGGGGUUCAAUGAGAUGUGAUCUUCAAACAGCUAAAGCAUUAAGAGUAAUAUUAAAUAGUAUAAGUGAAAAUUGGCUGUCAGCUUUAUUUAAAACAACAGAGAGAACAAUUUUUGUUUUAUGGGAAUUUGUGACCAAAGACAAUGUUGGGAAUUUCUGAUGUUAGAACUAUUUUUUUUUAUCUCUAAAUAACUUUUGAUUUUCCAUAAUUUGCAGUCUUUGUAAAGUCUGAGGCAUUCAAAAUUCAAAUAGAAAAGGGAAGAAGGGAAAUCAGUUUCAUCUCGAAUUUCAUAGAUUUUGAAGAAAUUUUAUAAGCAGUGUGAUCCUGGUCAGUGGUCACUGUUUCAGUCUCCUUUUCUAAAUUUUAUUCCCUGCUGAAUUACUAUUUGUUGCUGCACCUUUUUUGUAUAGAUAAAACUGCAGCAAACAAUGUUUUUGGAGAGACUCAUGACCAACUUUUAAUACGCUAACACCUUUUGUAUAUAUACACCUGGAACAACUAUUUUUUAGAAAAUGUUCCAUUCAGCAAUUGUAACCAAGUUGACCUUAAACUAAGAUAGCCUAUUUUUUGAAAACUACUAUAAUGGAAAAUGUUGCCAGUAGAAACUUUAAUUCAUCUUUUGUUUUAGAUGAUCUGCAGUGAUGAUAUUGUACUAUUUUGUCAUAUUGUACAAUUUUGUCUGAGAUCCUUGAUUUAUAAUGUAGCAAUGGUCUCAAGACAAUUGAAAACAAUUUUGUCGUCCUUUUAAGUUUAGUUCUAUUACAUCUAAUUCAUUGAUAAUGUUACAUCCCGCAGCAAAGCGUGGGGACUAUUUCCAGUGUCUUCAUAGUAAUCUCAUAUUCUGCCUCUUAUUUGAUCAUGUCUUCUAUUUUAUUCUUAUUCUGCCUAUUAAUCUUAUUUGAUUGUAUAUAUGUAUAUAAUACGUCCUGUGUUUUAAUUUAGAAUUUCCAGAUUUGCAUUUGGAAUCAAGGAGAGGGAGCCAAUUGUAGUUUGAAACAUUAGAUGCAGCAAGGUCAGAGAAGAAACUAAAGUGUUCUGUGUACAGCAACUACUCCAUAAGAAGACAUUGCUUUGUUGGAUGCAAAGUCCUUUCAAAAGGUUUGUUCUACUUCAAGUUGUCAA